CACAGAGUUUGCCGGUGCUUCCUCCUCCGGUACCAUCGCGCUACCUGAACUUUCCCCAGAUAGCCGUUUUUCCCGGAUGACAGAGCUUUACAACCCGAAGGCCUUCCUCACUCACGCGGCGUGGCUGCGUCAGACUUUCGUCCAUUGCGCAAUAUUCCCUACUGCUGCCUCCCGUAGGAGUCUGGACCGUGUUUCAGUUCCAGUGUGCCUGAUCAUCCUCUCAGACCAGGUACCCAUCAUCGUCUUGGUAAGCUGUUACCUCACCAACUAACUAAUGGGACGCAGACUCAUCCAUCGGCGAUAGCUUGCGCCAUCUUUCCUCGCAAGAGCUUCACACUCCCGAGAGCUUACUCGGCAUUAGCCCGUCUUUCGACAGGUUAUUCCAAUCCAAAGGGUAGAUUAUCCACGUGUUACUCACCCGUGCGCCGCUUUACUCAUCCUUGCGGACUUUCGCGCUCGACUUGCAUGUAUGAGGCCCGCGCCAGCGUUCG
rnacentral:rRNA from 1 species